rnacentral:rRNA from 1 species
UACGGGGGGAGCGAGCGUUGUUCGGAAUCACUGGGCGUAAAGGGCGCGUAGGCGGUUGGAUAAGUCAGGGGUGAAAUGCCAGGGCUUAACCUUGGAAUUGCCUUUGAUACUGUCUGGCUAGAGGGCGGAAGAGGAUAGUGGAAUUCCUGGUGUAGCGGUGAAAUGCGUAGAUAUCAGGAAGAACACCGGUGGCGAAGGCGGCUAUCUGGUCCGCUACUGACGCUGAGGCGCGAAAGCCAGGGGAGCAAAC